AGAGUUUGAUCCUGGCUCAGGAUGAACGCUGGCGGCGUGCCUAAUACAUGCAAGUCGAGCGGUAAGGUCUUCACUCUGUAUUUAAUGAGUUGAAUAUAGGGUGAAGAUACACGAGCGGCGGACGGCUGAGUAACGCGUAGGAACGUACCCCAAAGUGAGGGAUAAGCCAUCGAAAGGUGGUCUAAUACCGCAUGUGGUCUUCGGAUUAAAGCUUUAUGCGCUUUGGGAACGGCCUGCGUCUGAUUAGUUAGUUGGUGAGGUAAUGGCUUACCAAGACGACGAUCGGUAGCUGGUCUGAGAGGAUGAUCAGCCAGACUGGGACUGAGACACGGCCCAGACUCCUACGGGAGGCAGCAGUAGGGAGUUUUCCACAAUGGACGAAAGUCUGAUGGAGCAACGCCGCGUGCAGGAUGAAGGCCUUUGGGUUGUAAACUGCUUUUAUGAGUGAAGACUUCCGACAGUAACUCAUGAAUAAGGGUCGGCUAACUACGUGCCAGCAGCCGCGGUCAUACGUAGGACCCAAGCGUUAUCCGGAAUUACUGGGCGUAAAGAGUUGCGUAGGUGGCAGAGUAAGUAAGAUGUGAAAGCGUGCAGCUCAACUGCAUAAACAUGUCUUAAACUGCUCAGCUAGAGAACAGGAGAGGUAGAUGGAAUUCCCAGUGUAGGAGUGAAAUCCGUAGAUAUUGGGAGGAGCACCGAU
rnacentral:rRNA from 1 species